UACGUAGGGUGCAAGCGUUAAUCGGAAUUACUGGGCGUAAAGCGUGCGCAGGCGGUUUUGUAAGUUUGUCGUGAAAGCCCCGGGCUUAACCUGGGAAUGGCCGUUGAAACUGGCGAACUGGAGUGUGGCAGAGGGGGGUGGAAUUCCGCGUGUAGCAGUGAAAUGCGUAGAGAUGCGGAGGAACACCGAUGGCGAAGGCAGCCCCCCUGGGCUAACACUGACGCUCAGGCACGAAAGCGUGGGGAGCAAACAGG
rnacentral:rRNA from 1 species